AAUUAUCAACUUCAUAGUUUUAUUACUUUGAAGCUUGGAUUUGGAAGCUUGCUGGCUCUCUAGUCGGCUCUUCUUAAAUGUAUUAGCUGCUUGUCCGCGGGUUGGCUCAGAGUGUGAUAAGUAUCUACACUUGGUGGCUGCUUGCUUGGAUGUGGCUUCUAAUCGUCUUCGGACAACCUUUUAAG
rnacentral:misc_RNA from 1 species